rnacentral:rRNA from 1 species
UACAGAGGUCCCAAGCGUUAGGCGGAAUCACUGGGCUUAAAGCGUGUGUAGGCGGAUGCCUAAGUACCUUGUGAAAUCCCACGGCUUAACCAUGGAACUGCUUGGUAUACUGGGUGUCUUGAGCCAUCUAGGGGCCUGCGGAACAAACGGUGGAGCGGUGAAAUGCGUAGAUAUCAAGAGGAACACCUGAGGUGAAGACGGGUUGCUGGGCUGACACUGACGCUGAGGCGCGAAAGCCAGGGGAGCAAACGGG